rnacentral:rRNA from 1 species
AGUUCGAUCCGGCUCAGGAUUGAACGCUGGAGGGGAUGUUUUACAUAGCGCAGGUCGAACGGCAGUACGGACUUCUGGUCUGGUGGCGAGGCGGCGAACGGUGAGUAAUGUAUCGGAACGUGCCUAGUAGCGGGGAUAACUACGCGAAAGCGUAGCCAUUGGUCAGUAUACGCCCUUCGGGGAAAGCGGGACUCUUGGCCUUCGCAAUUAUUAGAGCGGCCGAUAUCGGAUCAGCCAGCUGGCGUGGGUAACGGUUCACCACAUGACGAUCCGCAGCUGGUUUGGGAGGACGACCAGCCACACUGGGACUGAGACACGGCCUAGACUCCUACGGGAGGCAGCUAUGGGGGAAUUCUCUGGACAAUGGGGGAAACCCUGAUCCAGCCAUCCUAUGUGGUGAUGAAGGCUCUCUGGGUUGUGCCACCUUGGCAGGAAAGGGAAACGGCACGGAUAAUACCCCGCAACUGACGGUACCCGCAGAAUAAGCACCGGCUAACUACGUGCCAGCAGCCGCGGUAAUAUGUAGGGUGCAAGGUGACCGGAAUUACUGGCGUAAAGCGUGUGCGCAGGCGGUCUGAAAGAAAGAUGUGAAAUCCCAGAGCUUAACUUUGGAACUGUAUUUUUAACUACCGAGCUUAGAGUAAAAUAGAGGAGGUGAAUUCGCGCAGCAGUGAACGCGCAGAUAUGCGGAGGAACACCGAUGGUGCUGCAGCUCUCUGGAUAACAUCGACGUGGCCUGGCGCAACGAAAAGCGUGGGGAGCAAACAGGAUUAGAUACCCUGGUAGUCCACGCCUUCUAAACGAUGUCAACUAGUUGUUGGGGCUCUUCGGCUUGGUAGCGCAGCUAACGCGCGAAGCUGACCGGGCCCGGGGAGUACGGUCGCAAGAUUAAAACUCAAAGGAAUUGACGGGGACUCCGCACAAGCGGUGGAUGAUGUGGAUUAACGACGCAACGCGAAAAACCUUUACCUACCUUUGACAUGUCUGAAUCCCGAAGAGAUUUGGGAGUGCUCGUAAGAGAACCGGAACACAGGUGCCAGCAAUGCACAAUGUCAGCCUGUGUCAGUGAGAUGUUAAGAAAGUCCCGCAACGAGCGUACCUUGUCAUUAGUUGCUACGAAAGGGCACUUCAUCGAGACUGCCGGUGACAAACCGGAGAAGGUGAUGACGUCGUCUCAUGCCCUGCGGGUAGGCUUCACACGUCAUAAUACAAUGGUCGGGACAGAGUGGGUCGCCAACCCGCGAGGAGGGGAGCCAACUCAGAAACCCGAUCGUAGUCCGGAUCGCGGUCUGCACCGACUGCGUGAAGUCGGAAUCGCCAGCAAUCGCGGAUCAGGGCAUGUCGCGGUAAUACGUUCCGGCCUUGUACACACCGCCUGUCACACCAUGGGAGUGGGUUUUACCAGAAGUAGUUAGCCUGAAUCAGCGAGGGCGAUUACCACGGCAGGAUCCGAUGACUGGGUGAAGUCGCAACAG